rnacentral:rRNA from 1 species
GACGAACGCUGGCGGCGUGCCUAAUACAUGCAAGUUGAGCGCUGAAGGUUGGUACUUGUACCAACUGGAUGAGCAGCGAACGGGUGAGUAACGCGUGGGGAAUCUGCCUUUGAGCGGGGGACAACAUUUGGAAACGAAUGCUAAUACCGCAUAAAAACUUUAAACACAAGUUUUAAGUUUGAAAGAUGCAAUUGCAUCACUCAAAGAUGAUCCCGCGUUGUAUUAGCUAGUUGGUGAGGUAAAGGCUCACCAAGGCGAUGAUACAUAGCCGACCUGAGAGGGUGAUCGGCCACAUUGGGACUGAGACACGGCCCAAACUCCUACGGGAGGCAGCAGUAGGGAAUCUUCGGCAAUGGACGAAAGUCUGACCGAGCAACGCCGCGUGAGUGAAGAAAGGUUUUCGGAUCGUAAAAACUCUGUUGGUAGAAGA